AAGAUCAGUUUAAACAGUCCAAUAAGCUUAUUCUCAUUACGGAAAUCAGUCACUAGGUGCUAAUGUGCGAAUCACCAUAAGCUACAUCCAAUAUCCAAUAUACAAUCUGAUUUUCAAUCUUAGUUAUUCAGUCCAAAUAUUACAGUACAGUUUUCAAUCCAGCUAUACAAAGUAAAUACAAAGCAAAAUAGACCUAAACAAAUAUAAAACCUCUAUUAACCAUUCUAUUAAGACAAUUUAAAUAAAUGAACUUCAGGAAGCAAAAGGACGAUAAAUUUCAUUGCAGCAAUUCAACUUCAAUGUUGUAUCAAUACAAAGUUCAAAGGUGUACCUGGAUGUUGAAAAUAUAAGAAGAAGAAAGGUCAGCGGCAGUCAGCAGUCGAUCACAAACAGCCCAGAAACAAGUUAAGCAAUCCGGAAAUGCUUAAAUCAAGAAAAGCUACUAGAUCUACUCUAAAACAACAUCAAAUUAACCCAGAAACGAACGCUGAUGAACACUCGGCUAACCAAUUUCAACUUGAAAUCACCCAAAAUAACUCAAAAUUGAAGUUAAAACACUUCUGGAAUUUCAACGGGUGCAAAGCUCAACCAAAACCCCAUUUAUUUUGACUUUAUUUCACUUGAAAUGGACAUUUGAACUUCAACUACCAGAGUUUGAGCAAAAAACUGCAAAAUCAGCUAACUAAAACUAGAAAUUAGCUAAGAGAUUGAAUAGAACAGUAUUUUUUGGUUUCAAUUAUUUUUCUGUUGUUUUAUUUUUGGUUUUCUGAAAGUUCCAAGAUGCAAGAGAUGAUUCUGAACUGAAAUUUGAAUUUUCAGAUCUGUUUCAGCAAAACUUUUAGGGGGAAUUUGAGGGCUGAAAACUUUAGGAAUUUUCAGGGGUGUCUAAACAUGUAAAUGAAGGCAUUGGGGCUGCCUUUUAUAGACAAGAAAUGGGGCAGAAUGUUCUGGAGUGUUUUACUCAUUUUCCCACCUUUUUAUUUUCAGAAAUUGGUGAUUAAUCCCUGAAUUUUUGGCUUGUUACCCAAGUUACUGCAUUAAAAAUGCAGAAACUUACACUAAGGCCCCCUUCUAGAAGGCCCUAUGGUGUUUUAGCUUUAUUUUCUACCUUUGGAAUGCCUAUACUACCCUUAUUUGAGUUCUUAAAUUACUAUGUCUUAACAAACCAGCCAUUUCCCAUGCCCAAACUACCCCUGACUACUCUCUGAAAUUACUAACCAACCCAAACCCUUUUUGCCUUAGUUAAAAAUCAACCAAGGUUAAUUGAAAGCUAAAUUUUCAGCUAUAUCCAAACCUUAAGCCUAAUUGAAUCCAAAUGAGCUAAAUUGAAUGAACAAGUAAAACUAAACUAAAUAAACUAACAGAAGUAUUAAUUUAUUCAAACAAAAUCAAACAACACCCAAAACAAAUUUGAAACACCAAAUAGACUAACUAAGAGAUAAAAGCUAAUAGGAAAUCCAACCAAUGCUUAACCAAUCGAAAUUAAAACUAAACCUAAAUAGAAUCAAAUCAAGACUAGAAUAAAAUCUAUCAAAACAAAAAUAUUGAACUUACUGAAAUUCAGAAACUAUUUACAAUCAAAACUAAAUCGAAAACCUUAAUCAUCAAAUUAAUAAAGAAAAUAGAACAACAACAAAUUAAAAUUAGAUUAACAUGGAACAACUACUGAAAUUCAAAUCAAAAUUGGAACAAAACAAACAAUUAUAUAAGAAAAGGAAGAAAGAAAUUGAGAAACUUACUAAUUUCGGCCAUAAUGCGUUAAAUUGAAACUGACCCUAGACGACUUAGCUUGAAGUUUCUUGACCGAUAUUAGUGUUUAACCGUGUGUUUUUCACGAUAAAAUACAUGGCUAAACCUUAUAAUGGUCAAGCCAUCGACAGAAACCCCGAUUCACGAAACUAGGGUUUUGGGGCGGCCUUUAAUCCAAUAUUCGUAAAGCGGAGAGUGAGGAGAACACACCGUGUUAAUUUGAUUGAGAUUGGAUUACUUUGCGUUUUUGGCCGGACUUUCGAUCUGAAAUUCGAGAGAUUUGUUUAGGAUUUGGGAAAACCUAAGGCUGGAUAUGGGGAGAGGUGGCGGAGGAGAACCUGUGGUGUAAUUCUGGGCGGAUUUGGGGAUCGCCGUCUGCGGAGACGAUUUCCGGUCGGCGGCGGACGGCGAGGCUUCAGAGGUACGAGGAAGAAGCAAAAUGUCUCUACAAUUAAAAGAGAUUUCAGACAUUUUUAUUUAAUUGCCACAAUUGAAUCAUAACCGUUUGAUUGGAG
rnacentral:lncRNA from 1 species